UCUUGUUCUGCCAUACAGCCGUCCCUAGAGGAGACUCUUAUUUUAUUUUUAAGAAAGUGUAGCCAAGGAGUUUUUUUUUUAAUGAAAGAAUCCACUCAAUUUCUCUUUGGUUACAAAACUCUUUUGUCAAGAGGAAUAUUUCACGGUCUUCGUCAUGAAAUGAGCAAGAUUAAAAAUAUGAUCUUUUCUAAACACUGAUGGUGUGUCCUGCCCUUUGUGUACGGUCCAUGACCAUGAAUAAACGUCGGCCACACCCUCUGAACCAAAAGUGGCACAUCUGUUCUGGCCCACUGUUAUAAAUGUGACAGGCUGGGAAUUACAUUUCCAGUCCUAUCUGAACUACAGGUGCUUCGUUUUCUGAGAAGCUAUACAAGGAGCAGCUGUAUUUCCAGACUGUCAUACUUCUCCAGAGCCAUGGCUAUAGCCAGAAUGGAUAAACUGCGAACGACAAGCUACAAAGAUGCCUUAUGGAUUAUUUUGAUUUUAUGCCUCAACAUAAGAGCUGCAGCCUCCACUGAGGGCACCACCAUCUCCACACCUGUCUCCACACCCAUCUCAACUCCAAGCUUCACUGAGUCACCCAGUCCUAGCCCCUCUGUGACCUCCAGCAGCUCCAGCUCCACCACAAACGUUGACACCACAUCCACUGUAGUCCUUGACAUGACCUCUGGCUCCAGUACCCGUGAAAUCUCAGGCAGCCCCAGUUCCUCCAUCACCUCCAGCAGACCAAGCUCCACUGGGACCUCGGAAAGCACUGCUACCAACACUGCAUCACUCCCUGCUGUUGGCACCACUACAAGCUCCAGCACAGGCUCCACUGAAUCCUCCAGUUCCAGCUCCCCUAUGACCCCCAGCAGCUCCAGCUCCACCACAGCCCUUGGCAUCACGUCCACCAGGACCUCUGGCUCCAGUACCCCUGCAAUCUCUGGCAGCCCCAGUUCCUCCAUCACCUCCAGCAGCUCUGGUGCCACUGGGACCUCUGAAAGCCCUGCUACCAACAGCACAUCCGUCCCUGCUGUUGGCAUCACUACAAGCUCCAGCACAAUCUCCACUGAGUCAUCCAGUCCCAGCCCUUCUAUGACCCCCAGCAACUCCAGCUCCUCCCCAGCCCUUGGCAUCACGUCCACCGUGACCUCUGGCUCCAGUACCUCUGCAAUCUCUGGCAGCCCCAGUUCCUCCAACACCUCCAACAGCUCUGGCACCACUGGGACCUCUGAAACUACUGCCAGCACUGUCACUGAUGCUGGGACCACCACGAACUCCAGCUUCACUGUGACCUCCAGUCCUGCCUUCAGCACAACGUCUGGUGCAAGAUCCAACAACACCAACACCUCUGAUACCAUUAACAGUUCUCCAACCACAUUUCCCUUGGCAAACUCCAGUACUAGUGACUCUGUAAACAACACCUCUGUCUUGAACGACACAACCACUCCUCACGUGACUUUAACAUCAAAUGUUACCACUCCCACUUCGGUCUCACCAGGAUCUAACGGCACUUCCUCUCACUCCAAUACUACUGCAUCUCCCUCGGUCCUGGAGAGCGCCAACAGCACAGUCUUUACCAUAACACCGGACUCCAACACCACAUCGGAUUCCAGAGUCACAGUUUCCAGCAUCACUACAGCAAAACCCAAAGACAAAGCUGGCCUCCCCUACUGGGCCAUUGUUUUAAUCAGUUUGGCUGCCGUGGUGGCGGCUGUUUUCUUGACCUGGCUUGCCUACUUGUUGUGCUAUUUGCGAAGAUCAAGCUCCUUCCUUCCCAUGUACCACCCACAUAAUGUCUUCCAAAGUUUCCGAAGUCAAUGAUGGUGAAGAGAAGGACCUUUUCAGUUUGUCACAACAAGCUACCUUGAAGCCUCAUCCCUGGACUUCCCUUUCCGUUGUUGAGAACGUCCUGUCUUCAGCUACAUAGAAUUGCUGAAGCCUACUCUUCUUCCCUGGCAUCUAGAAGUUUCUCUGGGGAAAACAAUGGGAUGAAUAAUACCUUGGGUUCCUAAGGAUCCUUCACAAGGAAUGUAUGUUUUGAUAGUGACUUUCACUCUUUUCAUAUCGUAAACUAUUUUGGGAAACCCAAACACUUGAAAGGCCUCUAUGUUAAUUGAUUACAUCAUUUAAAAAAAUCCAUAUAGGCCACUACUGCCAGCGAGACCAUGGCCUGUAAGCUAAACAGACACUCAGUAGUUAAAAUAAUGUGGACUGGAAGCCAUUUCAGCCAGAACUCCAGAAGCUCUGCUUCAAAUCCUUGGACCACCAUGAAGCAAACUGGCCAAUUUCUGGUGAGUUCACUGGCUCUCAGUCUAACUUAUCCCACAGAGGUGUUGUGGUGACAAACACCAUGCAAAUGUGUGAGCUCUAUGAAUGAAGAGUCAGGUAUAAACAAAGCGUUUGACUAUCUAUUAGAACAGUUCUGGUAGAACCUCGUAUCCACAGGUAUUAGCAGACCGACAUCUGUUCUGUUGACACUGACAGAUCAGGAUGAUAUACCGGUUCCUUUCACUCACAUCUUAAUGAAAUCAGAGACUUGCUGUUUUGUUUUUGUUUUCUGUUUUGUUCUCAUUUUUGUUUUGUAACUACAAUAAAGAAAUCAACUCACAGAAUAUCCCUGGAUGA
rnacentral:lncRNA from 1 species